AAAGCAACACCUUUCAUGAUAUUCACCCUUUUAAGCCAAUCCAAUUUCUUGGACUCAGCUUCAUUGGUCAAAAUACUAGACAAACUCCCCCUCUCCGCAUACUCGUAAACCAAGAACGAGUGUUGUGCAUGCGAACAAUAGCCAUAGAGGUUCACAAUGUUCCGGUGCUUAAUCCCAGUCAAUGACCUUAUUUCAUUCAUGAAGCUUCUGGGAUGUGUAUUCUCAACUGAAGAAUUAAGUCUCUUCACAGCUAUGGUCCCUAAUGAUGGAAGGUUUACCUUGUAAACACUUCCAUGCCCUCCUUGCCCAAUGCAAAAUUUUGCAUCAAAUUCUUCUGUAGCAUUUAAGAUGUCCUUAUACAAUGCCCUUCCAUCUAACAUGGAUAUCGAAAGCCAACCAUCAUNNNNNNNNNNNNNNNNNNNNNNNNNNNNNNNAGAUGCUUUCCUUUGAUUAUCUCCAAUGCUAAUACUCCAAAGCUACAGACAUCACACAUUGGUGUAACCUUCAUUGUAUAUGCAAGCUCUGAAACAACACAAUUUCCAAAAAAAAGGUAUAACAAUUUAAAUGUGCAAAUGAGAUUAAAGCAGUACAGACUGGUAUGUUAUAGUUCAUGAAGUUUAAACAGGAUAAAAAUUAAAGUUAGACCUUACCAGGUGCAACAUAGCCAUAUGUGCCUGCAAGCGCGGUGCAAUUGGAUGAGUCUGGCUUAAGAAGCUUAGCAAUGCCAAAAUCUGAAACACGAGCUUCAUAUUCGGAAUCAAGCAAAACAUUACUGCUUGAUAUGUCUCGAUGAACAAUCGGUGGUGAGCAAUCCUCGUGCAUGUAAGAUAAAGCAAAAGCAACACCUUUCAUGAUAUUCACCCUUUUAAGCCAAUCCAAUUUCUUGGACUAAGCUUCAUUGGUCAAAAUACUAGACAAACUCCCCCUCUCCGCAUACUCGUAAACCAAGAACGAGUGUUGUGCAUGCGAACAAUAGCCAUAGAGGUUCACAAUGUUCCGGUGCUUAAUCCCAGUCAAUGCCCUUAUUUCAUUCAUGAAGCUUUUGGGAUGUGUAUUCUCAACUGAAGAAUUAAGUCUCUUCACAGCUAUGGUCCCUAAUGAGGGAAGGUUUACCUUGUAAACACUUCCAUGCC
rnacentral:lncRNA from 1 species